rnacentral:snoRNA from 14 species
UGUCUCCUGCCCCUAGAGGCAUUAUGGGUGCAGCUGCUGUGCGUCACCUGUGCGUCAGGAGGUAGCAGAGAGGAGAGAGGCCAUGUCUAUGCUCAGUGUUCUGAUCUGUGAACAUCUGGAUGAUUAGUAGCCUAACAUUC